GGGCUCUUCACCGGUGAUUUAUCAUGUUUUGUGAGUUUUGGUUGUAGUUUUUGAUCUGAGGUUGUAGAUCUCCGUGUUCUCUACCUGUUUUUGACUAGAUUUUAUCGGUGUUUCAGCGAUUCGCCCUCUCUUUGAAUAAUCGCAUCAGAUUUGUUUGCCAUCGUUGGCAGAGGCGCUGGCUGAAAUCGAAGUGUAGCCAGGAGGUCGACCCCAUGGCAGAUCCUGAGUUACUCAUGCCUGAUUCAGAGGCGGAGGCAGGCGGAGGCUGAGUUUGGGCCUGAGUUGGAGUCGUAUUUCUUCUGCAUUACUCAUUAGUUUGUGUGGGGUUGGGGAUAUGGAUUUGGUUCUGGCAGGGGUGGCUGCUGGGGUUGCGUGGCGUAUCAGCUCCCUAAUUUGGAGUGCAUCAAUGGCUAGAGUGGGUGCAUCAAGCAUUGUUUUUGCCCAGCUGCUCCCUAAUUCGUAGACAUAUAUUGCAAAACAAGAGAUGAGGCUUGGAGGAGGGUACCCACUGAAGGCUGUCAGCAAGUGCCUUAAGAUUUUGACAGACAUGCACCACGAAAUGGAGGUUCGCCUUGGUUUGUCCAAAGGACCUAUCUGCGCUAGCUUCAAUUGAGGCAGUGAAUGUAGUUCUGUUGCACGUUCAGCUUUCAGUCUAGUUACUUCGGUCAAUAGACCAUAUAUUAAGAUGGUGAAAUAUGAAAACAGGUAGCUUGCAUCUGUUCAGUGUCUGAUCAACACCAUUCUUCUUCUUUUCUUUUGUUUUUUUUCUGUUGUGUCAAGCAGAUUUUGCUCCAUAAACACAAAAUCAUUUCUUUGUGAAUAUGAUGUUAUUGUGUAGUAUAGUUGUAUUAUUUUUUAACCUAAUAAUCUUUUGUGUUCAUGAACACAAGAUUUAGGAUAAUAUGCUUCCUUUAUUUAUAAUUAUAUUGUGAAGCAGAGGGGCUCUUGUGUUUUUACUUUUCUGUCACAUGACCUCUCCUGUUUUAUUUUAUGCGAAAUUAGUUUAGGUACCUCCUCUCAUGUAAGCAGCAGGCAUUAGUUUUGAAGAUAUCAUCCUGCAUACAUGAAGAAUCAUGGAAUGAUUCAUGUACAACCUCAUUGAUUAAUG